GAAAUGCGAUAAGUAGUGUGAAUUGCAGAAUUCAGUGAAUCAUCGAAUCUUUGAACGCACAUUGCGCCCUUUGGUAUUCCUUAGGGCAUGCCUGUUCGAGCGUCAUCUAAACCUUCAAGCCCUGCUUGGUGUUGGGUGCCUGUCCCGCCUCCGCGCGCGGACUCACCUCAAAUCCAUUGACGGCCCCCGCGUCGGCCACGAGCGCAGCAGAAACGCGAACUCGUGAGCCCGUCCGGGCGGCUCCCAGAAGCUACACCCACCCAGUUUGACCUCGGAUCAGGUAGGGAUACCCGCUUAACUUAAGC
rnacentral:misc_RNA from 1 species